GAAGGAACCCCCCACCGAACAGUCAGACCUGCAGCUGUUUCCACACCCCGAAGACCACCCUUAACCCUUGGAGAGGACAAGAGCUGUGUUCUCUGGAGUGUACAAGACAGUCCCCAGGACUGGGGCCACAACACAGCAGAAGGAAAGGGUCACAGGAAAGGGCAUAAAGGAGAAGAAAAAGGACAAAUACUCACAGUGGGUCUUGGGCCAGCCCGGUUUCAGCUGCAGUACAUGGGCCACUAUCUGGUGCAUGAUGAGAGGAAAGAUCCAGACCCCAGAGUUCAGGACUUUAUUCCUGACAACUGGCAGAGCCCACCUUUGUAUGCUCAAAAGCACUGUGGUUUUCUCUUCUGGGAGAGGCAGUGAUCUCCUCACAAGUUCUCUAGGAUCUCUUGGCGUGUUUUCAGCUCCCAACCACUGCUUUGCGGCACAGUGUUACCCGGCCCAAGCUCGCUCUGUUUGCGGCAAGUCAGUAAGUCAGGAGGCAAGUUGUUGGGAUAAGAAUUUUAACUGGAAAGCCAGCAGACCCAGAAGAUGGCAGACUGGUGUCUCAGAAAACCAUCUCCCUCAGUCCCAGUUCAGACUCCUUUUAUACACAAGAGGGGAGGGACCCAGGACCAAUCGCCAAGAAGGACCACUCAGGUGGCUGGUUGACAGUUG
rnacentral:lncRNA from 1 species